rnacentral:sRNA from 1 species
GCUGUUUUUUUGUUUCUUCUCUUUUUAAGGCCUUUGAUAAUAACCAUGACAACAAAAUUACCAGGCACGAGUAUGAUUCAGGGGUCAACAACCUGCACCCAAACGACCCAUUCACCGUCCACGUACUGACCGCUCUUUUUGUAGAGCUGGACUCCAACAACGACAAACAUCUGGACGACGCAGACUACGACAAAUUCUUCACCAACGCAGACACCGACAAGAACAACCUGGUCACCAGUGAGGAGUUUAUCAGCUGGUUCCAAAACGCAGAAGGACUUCCUAUUGUUGGAUAGUUAAAGUUACUCAAGAUAGAGAUCCAGGAGUAAACUACCGCAAGGGGGCUUGGUGAAUGAUACAUGACUAUCUUUGUUAAAUUUAUUUAAUAAAAUACAAAAUAUUUUUAUACAUACUA